UGCGCAGGCGGUUAUAUAAGACAGAUGUGAAAUCCCCGGGCUCAACCUGGGAACUGCAUUAGUGACUGUAUAGCUAGAGUGCGGCAGAGGGGGAUGGAAUUCCGCGUGUAGCAGUGAAAUGCGUAGAUAUGCGGAGGAACACCGAUGGCGAAGGCAAUCCCCUGGGCCUGCACUGACGCUCAUGCACGAAAGCGUGGGGAGCAAACA
rnacentral:rRNA from 1 species